UGACUGGAUAGAAAGUCUCUCCUACUUACUGAUGAUUAAGAUACUCGCUCACGGGGUGGGACAAGUAUGUCUGAGAGAGGGAGGGCGUCUCAUGAGACCAUCAGUGUUGCCAACGGUCUCUGACAGAAAGUAGCUGAAGUUCCCCAGGGUGUCACACCAAAAUAAAAGCAGGGGGGGUAAAGCUCUCAGCCUGAAAUGUUGUCCCAGUCCAGGCCUGUGCAUGACUGUCUGACUGCUUGUUUUAAGUUUAAAAAUUAGUCAAUGCUAGCUUUUUCUAAAAUAUUGAAAUGGCAGAUGUUAAAAAAUAAAACAAAGUACUACUGUAUCCCACUAGUAUGUGUGAAAAUACCCACUGUUGCUGCACCUAAGUUUUUUUUUUUUUGGGAAUUGUGGGAUCAAGUAAAAUAUUUUUGAAUUUAUUUUAUAUUAUAUUGGGUAGUGUUAGAACGUCAGUGCUUAAUAAUUGUUUUCAUAAUCAUACGUCCCCAAUUAUUCAGCGGGCCACAUAUAGCAACCUGGUUCUUUUAAACACCUGGGGUCCAAAUUAAUUUUGAAUAUUAUAUGUCUGGGCUAUAAUUUGGAGAAAUACGGCAUGUUCUGUGAAGCAUAUUACAUCUAUGAAUAUGAUCUAUGAAGCUAAUUCCAUGAAGCAUGAAUAUUAAUCUAUGCAAUUGCAAAUGCCUUUAUUUUAGUGAGGUAAGUACACAAUCUGUUAUUUCUGCAUAACAGACCCUUGUUAAGUAUAACAGACAGACAGACUUCUCAGAUAAGAGGAGCAAAAAAAAAACUGAAGAAGAAUAUUCACCUUAUGUUUAAUUUCUACCUUCAUUGAAGAGACUCAGGUUGAUAAACAACUUGUAACCAGGUACAUGUCUGAAAAUUUCUUUUGUGUAAUGUAUUUUCUUAUUUUUGUUGCAUGAAAAAUCUGUGUAUGUGGACACUCACUAUUUGCCCUCUUUUUCAGGUCCUCACGUGCGUCCUUUACAAGCAGAGGCUCGCUGAUAGACGACUCUGUUACCAGUUCUAGGGCUGACGCACCCACCCACGUCCCCACCCCCGGUGUAUCCUUUACAGCUUAUGCGUGCCAAAGGAGGAGCUGCUGGUUCCAAGAUGAGACCUUUGCUGGACACUUUGAAUGACACACAGAGCAUUGAGAAGAAAAGGGAUGUUGUUAUCUGCUGCCUCAUUAGCUACCUCGGGGAAAGACAAGAAGAUCUUUUUCAUGACUGCCAGGAAUGUGAGGAUUACACAGACAAUAUGAUGAAGGUGAUCGUGAUCCACAACAUCAUGGCUGAGGAGGAUCCAUCAGAUGGUUU